CUUUACGGCCACACCACCCUGAACGCACCGGAUCUCGACUGACCUUGAAAGCUAAGCAGGAUCGGGCCUGGUUAGUAUUGGGAUGGCAGACCCCCUGGAAAUACAGGGUGCUGAAGGU
rnacentral:rRNA from 1 species